rnacentral:rRNA from 1 species
UACGUAGGCAGCGAGCGUUGUUCGGAAUUACUGGGCGUAAAGAGUGUGUAGGCGGUGCUCUAAGUUCGGUGUGAAAUCUCCUGGCUUAACUGGGAGGGUGCGCCGGAAACUGGAGUGCUCGAGCGUGGGAGAGGAGAGCGGAAUUCCUGGUGUAGCGGUGAAAUGCGUAGAUAUCAGGAGGAACACCUGUGGUGUAGACGGCUUUCUGGACCAUAGCUGACGCUGAGACACGAAAGCGUGGGUAGCAAACAGG